rnacentral:rRNA from 1 species
UACGAAGGGGGCUAGCGUUGUUCGGAAUUACUGGGCGUAAAGCGCGCGCAGGCGGUCUUCCAAGUCAGUGGUGAAAGCCCGGAGCUCAACUCCGGAAUUGCCAUUGAAACUGCGAGACUGGAGUACGAGAGAGGUGAGUGGAAUUCCCAGUGUAGAGGUGAAAUUCGUAGAUAUUGGGAAGAACACCGGUGGCGAAGGCGGCUCACUGGCUCGUAACUGACGCUCAGGCGCGACAGCGUGGGGAUCAAACAGG